rnacentral:rRNA from 1 species
AUUGAACGCUGGCGGCAGGCCUAACACAUGCAAGUCGAACGGUAACAGGAAGCAGCUUGCUGCUUCGCUGACGAGUGGCGGACGGGUGAGUAAUGUCUGGGAAGCUUCCUGAUGGAGGGGGAUAACUACUGGAAACGGUAGCUAAUACCGCAUAAUGUCGCAAGACCAAAGAGGGGGACCUUCGGGCCUCUUGCCAUCGGAUGUGCCCAGAUGGGAUUAGCUUGUUGGUGGGGUAACGGCUCACCAAGGCGACGAUCCCUAGCUGGUCUGAGAGGAUGACCAGCCACACUGGAACUGAGACACGGUCCAGACUCCUACGGGAGGCAGCAGUGGGGAAUAUUGCACAAUGGGCGCAAGCCUGAUGCAGCCAUGCCGCGUGUAUGAAGAAGGCCUUCGGGUUGUAAAGUACUUUCAGCGGGGAGGAAGGGAGUAAAGUUAAUACCUUUGCUCAUUGACGUUACCCGCAGAAGAAGCACCGGCUAACUCCGU